CUAAAUUUGAACAAUAUGUAGUAUAUGUGAAACCACAUUAAAAUUUACAAAUCUAGAACUAUAUGAAAUUUUUAUAUUAUUUCUUAAAUUACAGAAGGCACAAAGUGUAAGUAGAAGUAGAAUUGUUGUUAUAAUUUCUCCCUUUUUCUCAAAUAAUUUUUCCUUGUCAAACAUGGGUUCUAUCAAUUUGCUCUCUUGUUCAUGUUGUGUAUAGUGAAUGACAAAUAUCCGACAAUCCAACCUGUAUUUUUUAGUUCAACUAUAAGUAUGAUAGAUGAAUACAUCAAUUGAUAGUAUUAGAUGACGGAUAAUGAUGUCGUUUAUAUUUGGAGUUAGGGUAACUCUAGAUAUUAUAAAGUUUGUACUUACGAGUCUUCUCGUUGUUGUGCGCAAGUCUUGUAGCUUUCAAUAUCUAUUGUUAAGGUGUUGUCACUCUUGAAGUCUUGUAUAUUGUUUGGAUCUUGUCUCGCUCCAAAAAAGAAAGAAAUGGAAUGUUUUGUAUGGAACAAUUUGUUGUCAUUUGAAAUUUAGUACAUAAACUGGAUUAUUUAAGGUUUUGUUUUUACCACUUGCAAAGCAUGGUCAAAAUAUUGGUCUCUGCCUCCUUCAAUCCUUUUUAGUUUUGAAUUGUAAUGAGUCAUUGUUCAUUUUUUAAUGUCCUAAACUAUUAAGGUGAAGUGGAAGUAGUGUUUCAUCAGGAUGAAUACUUUGCCAACCUUGUCUACAUUUUCUUCCAAUAUUGUCUUCAAACGUUGGUCAAGGUAUUCGUCAUCACUCUUUGGUCUUUUUAUCUCCAUGUCAUUCUCUUUGAAUACAAAGAAAUAUUAUAUUAAACAAAUGGACAAUAGUUUUUCUAGGCACUAUUUAUGAAAUCAGAAACCAAAAUAGAUACACUAUUUAUGAAAGUGGUCGAGUAACUAGGACAUUGUUUAUGAAAUUGGACUAUACAUUGGGGCACUAUUUAUGAAAGUUGACUAAGAACUUGAACUGUUUAUGAAACUAGACGAACAACUAGGCAUUAUUUAUUAAAAUGCACUAAGAACUAGUCACUAUUUAGAAACUUAAAACAAGAAAAAUACAGUGUUUAUGAAAAAGGAACUAAUUGUUAUACUAUGUAUAUGAAAUCGUAGAACCACAUAUUUGUAGAAAAAUUAUUUUUGGUACUUACAAAGAUGUAGGAAGAAAGAUAAAGACUUUGUUCCUUGCCCUCUUUCAUUUCAUUUUCUAACAUGAUGUAGAAAAAACAUCAACUAAUUUCGCGUCAAUUGGUCCAUCAACAAACAAUGACGUCAAAUCACUUCUCAGUAGAACAAGCUCAGUGGCCAUGCUCCCUAUCUUCGGCAUCAACCAAAAGCAGUCCAUGUCUUGAACUUGUGUUGCUUCAACUUUUGUCUUCAAAGGUGAUUCACCUUUAGGGGUCUCCUCCUCCUUCUCCUUUUCAUUGAUGGGGGCAACCAUAUUCGAAUCCUGGAUCAAGAUUCUAUUUGCGAUCAUUCUUGGCACGUACAUUUCAGACCAAUGUUCUCGUAUCUUCCUUUCUCUCAGUAACAUAUUGUUUUCCUUCAUUGACAUCAGUCAGAACAUGCUCCACUAUUGGUAUAAUUAGUCAUGUUGUCAGUGUUUUUUCAACUUCCAUUUCAACCACAUUUGACAUUGGUUCCACUGUUGGUGUCUUCAUAUGAACUUGUAUUUCAGCCGCAUGUGGUACUGGUGACGGUUCUUUCUUAUCUUUCAAGGUGUCUGGAAGUCCUUGUGGAGAAGCACUCAAAUAUGGAAUUUGUGAAGGUUCCAUUUCAGCCACCCUUGAUUGAGCUUCUUGUAACUUCUUUUUUAAGCUCCCAAUCUGUUUCAGAUGGUCAUUGAUCUUCAGAGUAUUUGCAGUGGUCUUUGUCUGCAUCUUUGACAUUUCGGCAUUAAGUGCAUUGCUAUUCUUCUAA